rnacentral:snRNA from 1 species
GGGUUGAUUUGACUGAUCUGGCUGACUAAGUGUGUGUCCCCUUCCUUCCUCGCUACUCCAUGUGUGUCCCUUUCGAAACUGGGUGCUAGGUGGAAAAGGAUGACCUUUCCUAUAGAAGAGAACUAUUCUUUGGUCAAGGGUACAUGACCCUGCUAGAGUUCCCAAACAAGCUCCCAAGUUCCAUUUGUAAGAGAACGCAGGGUAGUCAAGCUUCGAGACUGUAGACCCAUCCAAAUGAGGCACUGCCUGGAUAGUCCGUCUUUCUUU